GGAGGAGUGGCCGAGCGGUCGAAGGCGCUUGACUCGAAAUCAAGUGAGGGGCUCUGCUCCUCCGUGGGUUCAAAUCCCACCUCCUCCG
rfam:Dethiosulfovibrio peptidovorans DSM 11002 ctg1, whole genome shotgun sequence.